rnacentral:misc_RNA from 1 species
GUGAAUCAUCAAAUUUUUGAACGCAAAUUGCACUCCCUUCCGAGAGGAUGCGUGUUUGAGUGUCAGCGUCAAUAAAAACGACAUAGUCGCUGCUUCGCGGUGACAUUCGUCGGAAAUUGGUUCAUCUUAAACAUUUUGGUUUUAAGCGGCUUAAAAUUUUCUUUUCGAUUCCACUAUUGUUUCUAAGAUUUACUUAUUUGUUUUAGGU